rnacentral:rRNA from 1 species
CCCCUUAAAGGAGGCAGCAGGCGCGCAAUUACCCAAUCCUGACUCAGGGAGGUAGUGACAAGAAAUAACAAUAAACCGGCUUAUGCCGGUUUAAUUGGAAUGAGUACAAUUUAAACAUCUUAACGAGGAACAAUUGGAGGGCAAGUCUGGUGCCAGCAGCCGCGGUAAUUCCAGCUCCAAUAGCGUAUACUAAAGUUGUUGCAGUUAAAAAGCUCGUAGUUGGAUUUCUGUGGGGACGGAGCGGCCGGCCGCACAUCGCGGUUCGAGCUAGCGCUUUCCCUACAUCCUGCCGCGAACCGUGCUACCAUUAGUUUGGUGGCGCCGGGGAUCGGCUCGAUUACUUUGAGAAAAAUAGAGUGUUCAAAGCAGGCCACAUGCCUUGAAUAAGUUAGCAUGGAAUAAUAACUAAGGACUUCGGUUCUAUUUUGUUGGUGUUCGGGACUGAAGUAAUGAUUGAUAGGGACAGUUGGGGCGGUCUGUAUUCCAAAGCGAGAGGUGAAAUUCUUAGACCUUCGGAAGACAAACAGCUGCGAAAGCGUUCCGCAAGGAUGUUCCCUUUGAUCAAGAACGAAAGUUGGGGGAUCGAAGACGAUCAGAUACCGUCGUAGUCUCAACUAUAAACUAUACCAGCUAGGGAUCGGCCAACGUUAUUUUAUACCGACUUGGUCGGCACCUUAUGAGAAAUCAAAGCAUCUGGGUUCCGGGGGGAGUAUGGUCGCAAGGCUGAAACUUAAAGGAAUUGACGGAAGGGCACCACCAGCCGUGGAGCCUGUGGCUUAAUUUGACUCAACACGGGAAAACUUACCAGGUCCAGACAUAGUAAGGAUUGACAGAUUGAUAGCUCUUUCUUGAUUCUGUGGGUGGUGGUGCAUGGCCGUUCUUAGUUGGUGGAGUGAUUUGUCUGGUUAAUUCCGUUAACGAACGAGACCCCAGCCUGCUAAAUAGCGCGCGAGAGCUUUGCUCGCGGCGAGCUUCUUAGAGGGACUAUGAUGCGCGAUAGCACAUGGAAGUUUGGGGCAAUAACAGGUCUGUGAUGCCCUUAGAUGUUCUGGGCCGCACACGGGCUACACUGGCGCCUGCAACGAGCAUAUCAGCUGGCCCGAGAGGGUCUUGGCUAAUCUUUUGAACCGGCGCCGUGCUUGGGAUUGACCUUUGCAAUUGUUGGUCAUGCAACGAGGAAUGCCUUGUAAACGCGAGUCAUCAGCUCGCAUUGAAUACGUCCCUGCCCUUUGUACACACCGCCCGUCGCUCCUACCGAUGAAUGUUCCGAUGAAAUUUUCGGAGAGCACCUGUGAACUUGGCUCUGCCUUGCGAACGGGAGGCUCAAAGUCACUUAAAUCUAAACAUUUAAGAG